GGGCGAUGUUCGUUACAGUGGCAAGAAAAAACUGUAUGAGAACAAACACUUCAUGAAUAGAGAGAGGUGAUUGAGCUAUGGAGAAGCUGGAUCACGUAACAGUAUCUAUCCUUACAGCUGCAUGCAUUGACGAGCCCAUGCUCUUAACUUUGAGCCGCGAGGAUCUGAGGGACCUGUUUCCUGGGCCUGAACACUUUCUCACUAGAAAGCGUGUGUGGUCAGUAAUUCACCCUGAGGAAGACCGUCCUGUAACACAGACCCCUGAAACAUAUUCUUCACCCAGGGUAGUUCCAACAGCCAGGCCUCAAAGUCCUGAUGCUAAAAAAAGCCAGCAGAAGACCUUGCAGCUCCCCAGUCCUCCGGAAUAUGUAGUGUACACAGACAGUGAGUUGGAGCAAUGCAGAAAGAGUUACUAUGAUUUGGCCCAUGUUAGCCGGGAACAUGAAUGUGUCAUGUCCAAAGAACUGAGAUGCAGACUAGUGAGAAAUACAAUCACAAGUAUGGUGUCCCUUUUGAGAGCAAGCGAAGGCCAAAUGGAGCGAUACCCCUCUAAGAACGAAAUCACUGCAAUGGCCAAAAUAAUCGUGGAAUAUUAUCCUAUGCUAAAGGAUAAUGAUGCAAGCGUGAAACACGAGAGCAUCAACGCAAAGUUACUAAAAAGGCUGCAAAAUAUUAAAACUCCUGUAAAAAAGCAACGGCCAACACCAGACAGGGGCCGGCCAAAGAGAAGACUCACUGACCUCUCUCCAACUGAUAAAGAAGCUGAUGAUGAAGAUGUUGAUUGCAGUUCUUCCAGUGGUGCAUCUAAUCUGCUGUUAUCACCUGCAAGCAGUUCUGAUGCUUCCACUUCAUCUGGCAGGGUUAGUCCGCAAAUACAAGCAAGACUUUACAGAACAUUACAAGAAAUGUGCAAGAAGCCGAAACCAAACCAAGAAGAUGUGUCCCAGUUAUUAGACCUCGAGUUUGACUCCAGAAGAGCCUUCAUUGACUCAGACUCCUUGAAAGAGGAGAACAGAGCUUCCCACAUCUUGGAUGCAUAUCCAUGCUUUAAAGAACUGCAUCAUGUACGCUAUUGGGAGAGUUCAUAAUUGGAAUCAAAUUAGAAAUGUAUUUUCUCUGUUAUUUGAGUUUUUUUAUUUUUUAUCUGUGUUUAAUAUUGUAGGUGUUGGGUGAGCUGCGCAGAAUUUUGGAUCCACACAACAACAAGUUCGUCAGUCAAAUCAAACAAAGAUGGCAAGAAUUUUGCUCCAGGGUGGAAUUCUAUGGUGUGUCAAAGAAGGCAAUGAAUCCACCAAUGACUAUGGACAAAACUGAAGCCCAUCUUGCAUUGAUGAAGGCUCUUCCAACACUCUUUCCCUCACCUGCCCAUCCACCCAAAAAGAUGGGGACUGCUUCUGAUGCAUUUCUACAUGUCCUGAAGCCUACAGAAGAUCCAGAUGCAGUCCUCCAGAAACGAAGCUUGUCAUGUCCAGUGGUGAUGUUCGAUGGAUGCAAGUGUGUUAUUGCUGUUGGGAAUUUGCCAGUUACAACAUUUGACAAAGAAAAACUUGGUGAGGCUAUGAUUUAUGUGAUGGCAUACUUUUAUACACUCCAUCUGACUUAUCCCAAAUGCGUGGCAACCCUACUGUCUGUCAUUCAGACAGAAGUUCUCCAGGAUGCUAUUCAUGAGCGUGACACUACAUCAUAUUACAAAAAAGCCCUGGCCGAAUGGUACGCAUUUAUUGGAAAGUAGUUGUACAUUUAGUGAGAUUAUGGGGUACAGUUACUGAUGGAACUGUAAUUUAAAGAGCUGCACAGACCAGAGAUCCCCCCUUUUCUUUCACUUAGUUACAUUCAAUGUAUUUUAUAUUCAUUAUUGUGCCUUUUACUAUAACAUUCCAGGUUCAGUCGGUCAGACAAUAGGAUUAUGUUGAAAUCCUCAUGUUUAAUCCACCAUCAUCUAUGGCCUGCAGAUGGUUACUGAAAUAUCUCAUGUCUCUGACCAAAUGAACCUUGAAAGUUAUACUAAAAACCUGUUGAUUUAUGCUUGUGAUAUUGUUCAUGUUGUUUCUAUUAUAACAUUGGUUUUGGUUUUAUGUUGAGGACAACACAGAACUCUUCAUCAUGUUCUCUCAUAAAAGUGCAGCAUUUUUGUUCAUGUUUGCAUAUUUCAGUAAUUCUCUACACUACAUUUAGUUUGAUCUCAGUAGAAACAAAAGUUGACAUGUUUAAACAGGUUUAACCCUCC